UACGAGGGGAGCUAGCGUUGUUCGGAAUCACUGGGCGUAAAGCGCACGUAGGCGGAUGUGUCAGUCAGGGGUGAAAUCCCGGAGCUCAACUUCGGAACUGCCUUUGAUACAGCACGUCUUGAGUCCGAUAGAGGUGGGUGGAAUUCCUAGUGUAGAGGUGAAAUUCGUAGAUAUUAGGAAGAACACCGGUGGCGAAGGCGGCCCACUGGAUCGGUACUGACGCUGAGGUGCGAAAGCGUGGGGAGCAAACAGG
rnacentral:rRNA from 1 species